UACGGAGGAUCCGAGCGUUAUCCGGAUUUAUUGGGUUUAAAGGGUGCGCAGGCGGGGGAUUAAGUCGGCGGUGAAAUUUUGCAGCUCAACUGUAAAAGUGCCUUCGAAACUGGUUCCCUUGAGUGUAGAUGAAGUAGGCGGAAUUUGUGGUGUAGCGGUGAAAUGCAUAGAUAUCACGAGGAACUCCGAUUGCGCAGGCAGCUUACUAAACUACUACUGACGCUCAGGCACGAAGGCGUGGGGAUCAAACAGGAUUAGAUACCCGCGUAGUCCCU
rnacentral:rRNA from 1 species